rnacentral:lncRNA from 1 species
UGACAAGUGGCAGAGUGGGAUUCGAACCCAUGACCUCUGACUCCCAAGCCCAUGCUCUUUCCACUGAGCCAACCACCAGGCACCCAUUUCUUAGCUUAAUGUUUUGAAAUAGAGAACUUGAAGCAACUGAAAGCAACUGAAUGCCUGAAUGAUUUGGAUUUUGCUUUGGCAGUAAAAGUAAUUCGCCUGAAAACUGUGAAGGAGUUGGCUGGUUGUAGGUCAAGUGUUUCGUCAUCGUGCCUGCUUAUUGCAACAACAUUUGUAGGAAUUUCAGUGGAGGAUCACCAUAAGAGACUCUCUAAGCAAUCAAUUUUAAAUGGUCAGGAAAGAUCUUUUUUUAAAAUGACCCUGUCUAACUCACUGGAAGGGAUGCACUCAAGCUUGGUAAACAAGAAGACCAUCGGCACAGCUCCACGGCCUGUUUACCCAUGGAAGAUGACUGGCUUCUUGGCUGAAAGGGGCCCAUGGCUGCUGUCCCUAAUGGAGGUAAGAUGUUGUUUCAGUUAUGACCUUCAACUCUCACACAAAUCAGUGUUUCUCAAACUGGGGGAAGGGUUGGAUGGUGGGAUUUAUUUAUGAGGGAAUCACAGAGAGUAAGCUCCAAACAGCUAAUGGGGGGUGGGGAGGUGGAGCAGGGAACAGCAGCAUACAGCCUACUCUCCUCACACCAACACCACUACUCUUUUUUCCUAGUCCUGUAAGGCUCACACUUAAUGACCCCUCCUAAUUAGCACCUCUAUUUUCUUGGGGGAAACAAGAGAAUACAUGACUAUCGCUCUCCCCUUCUCAUCAGCCUGGAAAUCCUGGCGCAUGUCUCAGUUCUUUGGGGGAGAGAUGAUUUCGGUCAUGAGUGAUCUCGGGAGACUUUUAAAUGGGUUCAGUGAACAAAAAAUUUGAGAGCCAUUUCUGCAGAUGUACAUUUUUCUGAUAUCCCUGAAAAACAUAUUUAACUGCAUGUGCAUUAGCCAGCUUCAGGAAAGUCAGGUUUUCUAGCAACUUGAGUAACUGACAUUCGGGAAUUUAUUUUGGCUCUUGCAGUCUAUCCCAGGCCCAAUUUCCCUUGCUAGAAUAAAAAUCACAUUAAAAGCACAGUAAGGCUACAGAAGUAAUGUUGCUAUUUGCUAAGUGCUUACUAUGUGCAGAGCACUGUUCUAAGCACUGGGGUAAGUACAGGGGUAAGUACAGGUUGUCCCACGUGAGGCUCACAGACACUUCCCAUUUUAGAGAUGAGGUAACUGAGGCCCAGAGAAGUUAAGUGACUUGCCCACAGUCACACAGCUGCCAAGUGGCAGAGCCAGGAUUCGAACCCAUGACCUUUGACUCCCAAGCCCGUGCUCUUUCCACUGAGCUACGCUGCCCAUUUGCUAUUGAGGAUGCCUAUUAAUAUGUUUUCUCUCCCAGUGUAAACAAUUUGGAAUAUUAGCCUCACCAUAGACACGGACAUAGAGAGUGAUUUUUGUUGUUGUUGUUUGGGGAGAAGGAAAGAUUAGAUUUUUAGACUAAAGACUAAACUGUCUGGCAACUGACAUGAAACUGGCAGCCUAUAAAUUAGCUUCAUCCUAUGUGUGAUGAGUCCUGUAGGUUGUCCAAAAAGAGUAUUUUAGCUGCUUAACCAACUCAUAACAUGGGGAGAGUAACUCCAUCACCACGAGGCACUCUCUGAAGAGAACAUUUAGAAACACUUCAAAUACUUUAAAAAUGCAGAUCAUUGGUUUAAUCAGCUAACCUUUAUGGAUUGUUAGAAAAUACAGAUUUGAGUUAAAUCUAAUUUAUUGAAAAGCUGAAACUUAAAUAACUUAAAAAUUAAGCAUAACUUAAAACUAGUAGAAUCUGAGCGCCUGCACUUCUUGCAAUGUUUAGAUCCAGAGUCUUUUUAUUUUGUAGGGUGCAAAGAGAUAGGCCUGGGAAAAUACCCUAAGAUCUAAUGGGAUGGGAGAGGAGUUUGGUAGCAUUCUGUGCUCCUCCCACCCCAUCACUUCUCAGCUCUUCCCUUUUCCUUUGUAAUAAUGUUGGUAUUUGUUAAGUGCUUACUAUGUGCAAAACUGUUCAAUGCGCUGGGGAGGAUACAAGGUGAUCAGGUUGUCCCACGUGGGGCUCACAGUCUUCAUCCCCAUUUUAGAGAUGAGGUAACUGAGGCCCAGAGAAGUUAAGUGACUUGCCCAAAGGCACACAGCUAAGCAGCAGAGCUGGGAUUAGAACCCAUGACGUCUGACUCCUAAGCCUGGGCUCUUUCCACUGAGCCACGCUGCUUUGUCCUCUGCCCAUCUUUGCCUGGUCUUGUCCUCUCUCUUUUUCUCUCUCCUUUUCUUCUCUCCCCUCUCUUCCCUGCCCAUUUCAGUAGAAGAGACAGUCUUCCCGAAGAGGAAAAAAUGGGAGAAGGAAUUAUUUUGAGGGUAAUCCCUGGGCCUGGAGUGAACAUUUCCAAUCAAUGAGAGGAAAGAAAAAUUAAUUGCCUGAGCUUCUGCAAGGUCUAGUUUUGGGGGAAAAAAGCAUAGUUGAGCUUCUACUAGGUGCAUUCCACCCUGGCUGCAGGGCUGUUUAUGAAGAGAAAAGCAAAGGGGAGAAAGAAAAUCAGCAGCAAAUGUAGUCAUGCUUUGUUUGGAUGCAUAGUUGCUCCCAGAUGGCUGAUUGAAACCACAGCCACCACCACCCUCUACCACCCAGUCAAUGCAAAGAGAGAUGAUUCACGUUGCCACUUCCAUUUACUUUACUUUCAAGCAUUUGCCAAGUAGAGGGGGUUUUUAACUCGGAGUUUUAACGGGCAGUUUCUUUACUCAGUGAAAUUCCAUGGUGAAGUUUUACUAUAACUUGGUGGCGAGGCAUCUAUCUAUGUUGCCUACAGCUGAGAUAUUCUUUUUUUGCCCCCCUCUUUUAAUAAUAGAAUGGAAUCUACGAGAAACUGUGUUUUAAAAGACUGGCAGGCAUCUGGAUAGCAAGCUCCAAGAUGAGAGAUUUGACCCUUCCUCAAAGAGAUGCUGAUCUUGAGGGAGGAAGGCAUUGUGUUCCUGUGUGCUUUGAGGGACUGUGUUUGUGAAUUCCUCUUGUGGUAUCCACAGAACCAAUUAAAUUUCUUGUUAGUUUACCUCUAGCCCAGGUUUUUUUUUUCCUGGUGCUUUUAAGAGAGGUUGCUAGGAGUGGCUGGAACCAGGCCAAUCCGAGGUGGGUGGCCUCCCCUCUCCCCCCAUCCUUCGUGCUUUUGCAGUUCUGGCCGUCUGGGCAGGCUGCUACCAAUCAAUCAAUCGCUCACUUCAUUCAUUCCAUCAUAUUUUUUGAGCGCUUACUCUGUGCAAAGCACUUGGGAGAAUACAAUAUGGUAUUUGUUAAGUGUUUACUCUGUGUCAAGCACUGUUCCAAGCACUGGGGUAG